rnacentral:misc_RNA from 1 species
CAUCUGCACCAAGUUUCUUAAGUCUUUCUUUAACGUCUUCAGACCCAGCCCUGUCUCUGAUAAUAUUUAUGCUACGAACCCCCUGAAUCCUUGCAAGCUGAAUAAUGCACUGACCCACCAUACUAGUAGAACCAUUUUGCACAAUACUAUCACCAGGAGUGAGUUUAACAAUGUCUUCCAGCAUCAGCAGAGCUGUCAAGGGAUUCACAG